rnacentral:rRNA from 1 species
CCCUUAGAUGUUCUGGGCUGCACGCGUGCUACACUGAUUAUUUCAACAAGUGUUUUAACUGGAGAGUUUGCGUAAUCCUGAAAUGUUAUCGUGAUGGGAGUAGAGUAUUGUAUUUGUUAAUCUUUAACGAGGAAUUCCUAGUAAGUGUAGGUUUAUAAGUUGUUCUGAUUACGUCCCUGCCCUUUGUACACACCGCCCGUCGCUACUACCGAUUGAAUGGUUUAGUGAGAUCCUUGGAUCGGCCCUGUCGCGGCUGGCAACGGCCGCGUCGGCGCGUCGAGAAGACGAUCAAACUUGAUCAUUUAGAGGAAGUAAAAGUCGUAACA